GGGACGGUAGCUCAGUUGGUUAGAGCACGCGACUCAUAACCGCGAUGUCGGCAGUUCAAUUCUGCCUCGUCCCA
rnacentral:tRNA from 1 species